rnacentral:rRNA from 1 species
GACGUAGGGCGCGAGCGUUGUCCGGAUUUAUUGGGUGUAAAGAGCUCGUAGGCGGCUUGUCGCGUCGUCCGUGAAAACUUGGGGCUCAACCCCAAGCUUGCGGUCGAUACGGGCAGGCUCGAGUUCGGUAGGGGAGACUGGAAUUCCUGGUGUAGCGGUGAAAUGCGCAGAUAUCAGGAGGAACACCGGUGGCGAAGGCGGGUCUCUGGGCCGAUACUGACGCUGAGGAGUGAAAGCGUGGGGAGCGAACAGG